AACAAACGCUGGCAGCGUGCCUAACACAUGCAAGUCGUACGAGAAAGUCCGGGCAACUGGGCGAGUAAAGUGGCGCACGGGUGAGUAACGCGUGGGUAACCUGCCCUUGAAUUGGGGAUAACUCCGCGAAAGCGGGGUUAAUACCGAAUGAUAUUCCGAUUCCUCCGGGGAUUGGAAUCAAAGGUGGCCUCUGCAUGCAAGCUACUGUUCAAGGAUGGGCCCGCGUACCAUUAGCUAGUUGGUAGGGUAACGGCCUACCAAGGCAUCGAUGGUUAGCUGGGCUGAGAGGAUGGACAGACACACUGGAACUGGGACACGGUCCAGACUCCUACGGGAGGCAGCAGUGGGGAAUCUUGCGCAAUGGGGGAAACCCUGACGCAGCAACGCCGCGCGGGUGAUGAAGGCCUUCGGGUCGUAAAGCCCUGUCAGGUGGGAAGAACCGUAUCGGUACAAACAGUGCCGAUGCUUGACGGUACCACCGGAGGAAGCACCGGCUAACUCCGUGCCAGCCGCCGCUGUAAAAC
rnacentral:rRNA from 1 species